CAUUUAAGAAGCCAACCCUUGUGCCUUUCCCAUCGCUGCCGUUUAAAAUGAAACUCUUCAAGUUGGUAAUUUCCAGAAGUAAUUGGUAACCAGAAAUAAUGAUUGCAGCUAAAACCCAACUUUUCUGUGGCAGGGAAAUUGUGAAGAGCAGGGCCGCCAACAAUUUAACAAUUGCCAGGGUGAAAAAAAAAUUCCAGUGAACUCCAUACUCCGACACAUGCUCGUGAUAAUCUAUGGACUUCACACUGACCAGUCUUCCUAAACCAAGUGCAAUCAGGGGCCACACGGACAACACCUGCAUUAUAAGUCUGGAGGAUACAGAGCGAGAAUCCAGAUUCCUUAAUCUGGCUUCAGGAGAAAUCAAACCAUUGCCAAAUAUAAAGCCUCCGACUCCAAAGUCCAUGACGCCAGUCCCGUACGUUUCAGUUUUAGCAUAACGUCUUGGAAAAACAGCAAAAUCCACAGCUAGAAUAGC